UACGGGGGGAGCAAACGUUGUUCGGAAUCACUGGGCGUAAAGGGCGUGUAGGCGGCUGAAUAAGUGGGGUGUUAAAUCUCCCGGCUCAACCGGGGAAACUGCCACUUCAUACUGUUCAGCUUGGGUACAGCAGAGGAGACUGGAAUUCCCGGUGUAGCGGUGAAAUGCGUAGAUAUCUGGAGGAACACCGGUGGCGAAGGCGGCGAUUCUGGACUGCAACUGACACUGAUAAACGAAAGCCAGGGUAGCAAACGGG
rnacentral:rRNA from 1 species